CAGGACGAACGCUGGCGGCGUGCUUCAUACAUGCAAGUCGAACGAGAAGCUGACUUCGGUCAGUGGAAAGUGGCGGACGGGUGAGUAAUGUGUAGAGAAUCUGCCCUUUAGUGGGGGACGAACAGUUGGAAACGACUGCUAAUACCCCAUAUGCGCGUACUUGAGAUAGUAUUCGUGAAAACUCCGGUGCUAAAGGAUGAGUCUGCAUCUGAUUAGCUAGUUGGCGGUGUAAUGGACCACCAAGGCGACGAUCAGUAGCUGGUUUGAGAGGAUGAUCAGCCACAAUGGGACUGAGACACGGCCCAUACUCCUACGGGAGGCAGCAGUAGGGAAUUUUGCGCAAUGGGGGAAACCCUGACGCCAGCAACGCCGCGUGAUUGAAUAAGCCCUUCGGGGUGUAAAGAUCUGUCAGUGGGGACGAAACUUGACGGUACCCACAGAGGAAGCAUCGGCUAACUCCGUGCCAGCCGCCGC
rnacentral:rRNA from 1 species